rnacentral:rRNA from 1 species
ACAGGUUUCCGUAGGUGAACCUGCGGAAGGAUCAUUACAGUAGUCACCCAGGUUGCCGCAAGGCCUCCUGGGUAACCUACCACCCUUUGUUUAUUACACUUUGUUGCUUUGGCAAGCCUGCCCUCGGGCUGCUGGCUCCGGCCGGCGAGCGCUUGCCAGAGGACCUAAACUCUGUUUGUCUAUACUGUCUGAGUACUAUAUAAUAGUUAAAACUUUCAACAACGGAUCUCUUGGUUCUGGCAUCGAUGAAGAACGCAGCGAAAUGCGAUAAGUAAUGUGAAUUGCAGAAUUCAGUGAAUCAUCGAAUCUUUGAACGCACAUUGCGCCCCCUGGUAUUCCGGGGGGCAUGCCUGUCCGAGCGUCAUUACAACCCUCAAGCUCAGCUUGGUAUUGGGCCCCGCCGACCCGGCGGGCCCUAAAGUCAGUGGCGGUGCCGUCCGGCUCCGAGCGUAGUAAUUCUUCUCGCUCUGGAGGUCCGGUCGUGUGCUCGCCAGCAACCCCCAAUUUUUUUCAGGUUGACCUCGGAUCAGGUAGGGAUACCCGCUGAACUUAAGCAUAUCAAUAAGCGGAGGAAAAGAAACCAACAGGGAUUACCUCAGUAACGGCGAGUGAAGCGGUAACAGCUCAAAUUUGAAAUCUGGCCUCACGGUCCGAGUUGUAAUUUGUAGAGGAUGCUUCGAGCAUGGUCUGGCCUAAGUUCCUUG